GGCUCAGAACGAGCGCUGGCGGCGCGCCUAAUACAUGCAAGUCGAGCGAGAAGGUGUAGCAAUACACUUGUAAAGCGGCGAACGGGUGAGGAAUACAUGGGUAACCUACCCUAGAGUGGGGAAUAACUAGCCGAAAGGUUAGCUAAUACCGCGUACGCUCCUUGGACUUCGGCUCAGGGAGGAAAGCGAUACCGAGGGUAUCGCGCUCUUGGAUGGGCUCAUGUCCUAUCAGCUUGUUGGUGAGGUAACGGCUCACCAAGGCUUCGACGGGUAGCUGGUCUGAGAGGACGAUCAGCCACACUGGCACUGCGACACGGGCCAGACUCCUACGGGAGGCAGCAGUAAGGAAUAUUGCGCAAUGGGCGAAAGCCUGACGCAGCGACGCCGCGUGGGGGAUGAAGGUCUUCGGAUUGUAAACCCCUUUCGGGAGGGAAGAUGGAGUGGGUAACCACUUGGACGGUACCUCCAGAAGCAGCCACGGCUAACUUCGUGCCAGCAGCCGCGGUAAUACGAAGGUGGCAAGCGUUGUUCGGAUUCACUGGGCGUACAGGGAGCGUAGGCGGUUGGGUAAGCCCUCCGUGAAAUCUCCGGGCCUAACCCGGAAAGUGCAGAGGGGACUGCUCAGCUAGAGGAUGGGAGAGGAGCGCGGAAUUCCCGGUGUAGCGGUGAAAUGCGUAGAGA
rnacentral:rRNA from 1 species